rnacentral:rRNA from 1 species
GACGAACGCUGGCGGCGCGCUUAACACAUGCAAGUCGAACGGAAAGGCCUGCUUUCCCUUGUGGAUUGCGGGUACUCGAGUGGCGAACGGGUGAGUAACACGUGAGUGAUCUGCCCCCAACUUGGGUAUAAGCCUGGGAAACUGGGUCUAAUUCCCGAUAGGACUGCAGGGUGGUGCCUGUGGUGGAAAACGAUUUUCUAGUGGUUGGGGAUGAGCUCGCGGCCUAUCAGCUUGUUGGUGGGGUAAUGGCCUACCAAGGCGGCGACGGGUAGCCGGCCUGAGAGGGUGGACGGCGACAUUGGGACUGAGAAACGGCCCAGACUCCUACGGGAGGCAGCAGUGGGGAAUAUUGCACAAUGGGCGGAAGCCUGAUGCAGCGACGCCGCGUGGGGGAUGACGGGCUUCGGGUUGUAAACUCCUUUCGACCGCGAGGAAGCCACCUGGUUGGAAGGGUGGUGACGGUAGUGGUAGAAGAAGCACCGGCUAACUACGUG